GAACGCACCUUGCACCCUUUGGUAUUCCGAAGGGUAUGCUCGUUUGAGUGUCAUUGUACUCUCACACUCUCUAAUGCUUGCAUUAGGAGCGGUGGACUUGGGUGUUGCUGCUUCACGGUGGCUCACCUGAAAUGCAUUAGUGCACCUCCUGGUUGGACAUAGUACGGCGUGAUAAGUGUCUUCGCCGGCGCCUCGAAAGAGGGUGGCCGAUUGGGAGCUCUGGGCUUCUAACUGUCUUAGGACACUGUCUGACAACUUGACCUCAAAUCGAGUAGGACUACCCGCUGAACUUA
rnacentral:misc_RNA from 1 species